rnacentral:rRNA from 1 species
GAGUUUGAUCCUGGCUCAGGAUGAACGCUGGCGGCGUGCUUAACACAUGCAAGUCGAACGAAGCGCUUAAGAAUGAUUCUUCGGAUGAAGUCUUCUGUGACUUAGUGGCGGACGGGUGAGUAACGCGUGGGUAACCUGCCUCACACAGGGGGAUAACAGUUGGAAACGACCGCUAAUACCGCAUAACCCGCUGGUAUCGCAUGAUACUGACGGAAAAGAUUUAUCGGUGUGAGAUGGACCCGCGUCUGAUUAGCCAGUUGGCAGGGUAACGGCCUACCAAAGCGACGAUCAGUAGCCGGCCUGAGAGGGUGAACGGCCACAUUGGGACUGAGACACGGCCCAAACUCCUACGGGAGGCAGCAGUGGGGAAUAUUGCACAAUGGGGGAAACCCUGAUGCAGCGACGCCGCGUGAGUGAAGAAGUAUUUCGGUAUGUAAAGCUCUAUCAGCAGGGAAGAAAAUGACGGUACCUGACCAAGAAGCCCCGGCUAACUACGUGCCAGCAGCCGCGGUAAUACGUAGGGGGCAAGCGUUAUCCGGAUUUACUGGGUGUAAAGGGAGCGUAGACGGUGAUGCAAGUCAGAAGUGAAAGCCCGGGGCUCAACUCCGGGACUGCUUUUGAAACUGUGUAACUGGAGUGCAGGAGAGGUAAGCGGAAUUCCUGGUGUAGCGG